rnacentral:sRNA from 1 species
UAUGGCCGUAAUCAAAAAGUACACAUCAGGGAGACGAGAGAAGAACCCCGCACUCAGGAUGAAGUGGAUGAUGGCAAUGAAAUAUCCAAUUACGGCAGAUAAGAGGAUAAUGGCCCAGCAUUGAGCAUCAACGAACUGAGCAAUCUUGCAAAAGGAGAGAAGGCUAAUGUGCUAAUUGGGCAAGGAGACGUUGUGUUGGUAAUGAAACGGAAACGGGACUCUAGCAUACUUACUGACAGCCAGACAGCGACCAAAAGAAUUCGGAUGGCCAUCAAUUAGUGUCGAAUUGUUUAAAAACGACCUUGUUUCUACU